CCUACGUGAGGCAGCAGUGGGGGAUAUUGCACAAUGGGGGAAACCCUGAUGCAGCGACGCCGCGGGUGGGAAGACGGUCCUCUGGAUUGUACACCACUGUCCCCAGGGACGAAGAUGACGGUACCUGGGGAGGAAGCUCCGGCUAACUACGUGCCAGCAGCCGCGGUAAUACGUAGGGAGCGAGCGUUGGCCGGAAUUACUGGGUGUAAAGGGAGCGUAGGCGGGACUGCAAGUUGGGUGUCAAAUCUACCGGCUCAACCGGUAGCCGCACUCAAAACUGCAGUUCUUGAGUGAAGUAGAGGCAGGCGGAAUUCCUAGUGUAGCGGUGAAAUGCGUAGAUAUUAGGAGGAACACCAGUGGCGAAGGCGGCCUGCUGGGCUUUUACUGACGCUGAGGCUCGAAAGUGUGGGGAGCAAACAGGAUUAGAUACCCCUGUAGUC
rnacentral:rRNA from 1 species